rnacentral:rRNA from 1 species
AUUGAACGCUGGCGGCAUGCCUUACACAUGCAAGUCGAACGGCAGCACGGACUUCGGUCUGGUGGCGAGUGGCGAACGGGUGAGUAAUGUAUCGGAACGUACCAUUGAGUGGGGGAUAACGUAGCGAAAGUUACGCUAAUACCGCAUAUUCUCUCCGGAGGAAAGCAGGGGACCGCAAGGCCUUGCGCUCUUUGAGCGGCCGAUAUCAGAUUAGCUAGUUGGUGGGGUAAAAGCUCACCAAGGCGACGAUCUGUAGCGGGUCUGAGCGGAUGAUCCGCCACGCUGGAACUGAGACACGGUCCAGACUCCUACGGGAGGCAGCAGUGGGGAAUUUUGGACAAUGGGGGCAACCCUGAUCCAGCCAUGCCGCGUGAGUGAAGAAGGCCUUCGGGUUGUAAAGCUCUUUCGGCCGGGAAAAAAUCGCAUGGGCUAAUAUCCUGUGUGGAUGAUGGUACCGGAAUAAGAAGCACCGGCUAACUACGUGCCAGCCGCCGCGGUAAAAC